CCUACGGGAGGCAGCAGUGGGGAAUCUUCCGCAAUGGGCGAAAGCCUGACGGAGCAACGCCGCGUGAUCGAAUGAAGGCCUUCGGGUUGUAAAGAUCUGUUGACAGGGACGAAUAAGCAAUGCAAAUAGUUUUGUGUAUGACGGUACCUGUUUAGAAAGCUCCGGCUAACUACGUGCCAGCAGCCGCGGUAAUACGUAGGGAGCAAGCGUUGUCCGGAAUUACUGGGUGUAAAGGGAGCGUAGGCGGGAAAGCAAGUUGAAUGUUUAAGGUACGGGCUCAACCUGUACAAGCGUUCAAAACUGUUUUUCUUGAGUGGAGUAGAGGUAAGCGGAAUUCCUAGUGUAGCGGUGAAAUGCGUAAAUAUUAGGAGGAACACCAGUGGCGAAGGCGGCUUACUGGGCUUUAACUGACGCUGAGGCUCGAAAGCGUGGGUAGCAAACAGGAUUAGAUACCCUUGUAGUC
rnacentral:rRNA from 1 species